UACAGAGGGGGCAAGCGUUGUUCGGAUUUACUGGGCGUAAAGGGCGCGUAGGCGGCCACUGCAAGUCAGUUGUGAAAUCUCCGGGCUUAACUCGGAAAGGUCAACUGAUACUGCAGGGCUAGAGUGCAGAAGGGGCAACUGGAAUUCUCGGUGUAGCGGUGAAAUGCGUAGAUAUCGAGAGGAACACCUGCGGCGAAGGCGGGUUGCUGGGCUGACACUGACGCUGAAGCGCGAAAGCCAGGGGAGCGAACGGG
rnacentral:rRNA from 1 species